AUACAUUAAAGACAUUCACCUUAAAUAGAAGUGUAAGAAUCUUCUAUUUCAUAACAAAACACGUAUUCAGAAUGUGUGUGAUCUUAUUAUAUGCAUACUUUUUAAAGUUAUUUAUAUAUGAAAACAUAAUUCGAACAAGAGACAACAAGUUUAUUUGAUCGCAAAACUCUCUCUAGGUCCCUCUUUUUGUCUUUAGGCAAUGCCCCACUUUUGUCUUGCCAUAACAAUAAAAUCAUAGACUUUGUCCGGAUCAGCAAGAGACUUUGAGACACUCUCCUUUUGCAUACAUUUUUUGCCCAUUCCACAAUCUUAGGACACUCUGCUUCUAUGCUAAAGUUGCCAAAUUUCUCAUAAGCAGGAAACCAGCUAUAGUAAGGCAUAAGGGCUAUAUCUACAAAUCCAAAACUUUCUCCUCCGAAGUAUGUCUUGUCUCCUAAUUCCCCUUCCAAUGUUUUAGGCACUCUAUAAAUUCUUUAUUGGCUGCUUCUUGGUCCUCCACUUUUGAUGUCCACAUUUUCUUUCCACUCUCAUAAAUCUGCAUCCUCCCAAACAAGGAAAAAAGAUUAAAUAUUUUCAAUCAAAUUUAGCUCAUAAAAAUAUAACCCUCCAAAAUUUCAAUGUGCAUAUGUUUGGAUGAUAUCGUUUGGGCGUAUAUAUUCAUUAGGGUCACUUAAAUAAUGAGCCAAGUUAGCACAUCUAAUAGCUUGAACCAACCAAAUUGAAUUAUGAAAAGAAAUUAUUAAAUCACACAAAAAAUAAAAUUUCUGGUUAUGGUUAGUUAGAUAUAGUCAUGAUGAAUAAAAAGGAGUUCCUUAUACUAGUUUAAUUUGAUAAUUGAACAAAUAAAAGGGGGGGAGGGGGGGGGGGAAAAAAAANNNNNNNNNNNNNNNNNNNNNNNNNNNNNNNNNNNNNNNNNNNNNNNNNNNNNNNNNNNNNNNNNNNNNNNNNNNNNNNNNNNNNNNNNNNNNNNNNNNNNNNNNNNNNNNNNNNNNNNNNNNNNNNNNNNNNNNNNNNNNNNNNNNNNNNNNNNNNNGGGGGGGGGGGGGGAAAAACAAAUGAAAAGUGAUGUUGAUCAAUCAAAUUGAUAUAUCCAUCUUGACCAAUCAAUAUUUUUUAUGCUAUUAUUUUGUAUGUUUAUUGAUUCUCUCGAUUUAAUCCAGCUCGCCUAUUUAAUCCAAUAAAUAACAUUAAGAUAGACCAAAACAACAAAAUUUUUAGUUCCGAACAAUUUGGAAUUUGCUUUAUGAAUUUUCACUGACCAUGAUUCUUUAUUUUUGUUCAUCUUAGAUCAAUAUAUUAUGUGGAAUAAAGAAAAGUAUUUUUUUGGGGGUACAUUCUAUGAGCAUCGAAUUGAAAUUUUUGAUAUAGCUAAAUGACUUAAAAAGCAUAGGACCUAAAGAAACGUACUAACAAGACUAAACAAUUCCCAACUGUGUGAUAUUUCGCAUACCUUUUUGUCAAUAUAAUCAGCCCAAAACCUAGCUUGAGCUCUCAUGUAAGGAUCAGAAGGCAUGAAAGGGGUUUUAUUUUUCCAAACUUCAUCUAUAUACUCAACAAUAAUUAGGGAUUCACAUAUUGGUUUUCCAUUGUGAAUCAGGACUGGAAUUUUCUUGUGAAUUGGGUUCAUUUGUAGGAGAAGAGGGGUUUUGUUCAACAAAUCCUGCUCUUUGUAUUCAUACUGUAUGUCUUUUUCAGCCAGUGCAAUCCUAACCCUCACCCCAAACAUGCUCACAUAUGUAUCCAAAAGGACAACUUCAUCAGCCAUUUCUUUUUGCUGAAAAUUCAGGAUUAUUGUUUAACAGAACUCCAAGAUAAUGUGGACUGUAAUAUGCGUUGUGUGUUGAAUAUUAGCCAUGGUGAUGAUACCUCCAUAUAUAGAAGUGGGGAAGAAGUUGCUCCGAAGUUUGAUGUGGAAUGUGGACCAUGUUAGAAAAGUCUCUGCAUAUGAUCUAUAGGAUCCCUAAUCUUGCUUUACCUUUGGAUUCUAGUUCUAGUUAAUUAGGUACAAGGAGUGGCGAUUAAGGAUUCUGAGCAAGGGGGUUCAACCUUAUAUACGCAAGUGCAAUUUUCUAGCGAAGAGGUUCGGAUAAAUCCCUUUCUGCUCCCCUAGAUCCGCCCCUGGUACAAGGUCAUGCCACUUGAUUCGUUUCUCAAAAGUUAACGAUUUGAUGUGCUUGAAAAUUAAAGGCUUGCUAUAUAAAUUAUGAAUAACUUGAGCUAACUUCAUUUACCAACUAAACUCAAUCUCUAAUAUGAAGUGUGACUACUUAAAUGUAUCUUUGACUUAUGAUACAUAUACAGUAACUGAAGUUUACUUAUUUGUAUCAAUAAAAGUAGUAGUUGAGUGGCAAGAUUGAGACCCUCAACAUUUAAAGCCAUCUCGCUUAUGUAGUUGUUCUCUCUUAUCAAGAAAAGUAAGAUGGGUAGUUGAAAACGGUGCUGCCAAUAUGAUUAUAGACUAGUUCUUCAACUAAAUUGGUAACACACGAACUCUUUGAUGCAUGUUCUCAACUGUUACGGAUUUUAUACACAGGAGAACUUUCAAAAAUGAAUUUUGAGAAACAGUCAAAACGGUAUUUUUAUUUGUCGUUGAAACUAUCAAUCAAAAUCAAGAAGAAUUACGUAUGAAAAUAGCGUAUGGAUAUGAUGAAUCCCACUUUUAUUUCUAUCCACACAGUCUGUGUGACACAGAUGCACCACUAGUCAAAUAGGGCGGCUUAAGAAAUACUAGAUAUAUGAAACAAAAUAAAUUAAGUGCACCUUCAAUUGAGCUCGACAAAUUGUGUUUUAUUACAGAGGUUUUUCUCAGAGAGAUUCUUCACUAAUAAUUAAAAAUAGAAAGAACAUAAGUAGAAGUGCAUGAACAAUCAAUCUUGUCUUGUUUUUCCUUCUUUAAAUGUAACAAUGCCGGAUUUAGAAGUUUAUAAGCUUAGAAUUUCAAUUUGUACACAUGAUACAAUACGCCAAUUUGAUCCUUAUUAAAAGUGGAACAUUAUUAUUAGCGUAAGAGAAAGAAGCUAGAAAUGUGUUUUUAUUAUUUCUCCACUCAUGUUAGCGUACCUGUAAUAUAUAAAGUGUAGAGUACACAAGAGUUAGAGUUUUAGGUACAUUCUAACACACAGUUAACUACUCUGAACCUAACCCUUACCAUGUGAGAGAUUGGUUUCACUAGGAAUAUUACGUGAAGUAGGACUUGCUCUAUUACUACCCUUGUAAGCUGAAGGUAGAGAUCUCAGCAGUAGCAUCAGCAAGAGCCUUGUACUCUGAUUCAGUGGAAGAUCAAGCAACUAUCCGUUGUUUCUUAGAUGACCAGGAGACGAGUAUUCCCAGGAAAAAUGGCAUAGCCAUCACUCGACUUCCUAUCAUCCAAGGAACUUGCCCAAUCCGAAUCGGUGGUGAAUGCUUGUAGUGGCAAACCUGGCAAAACGAUGAUGAAGAGUAUGCUUGAUAUAUCUAGUAUACGUUUAACUGCAUCCCAUCGAUUUAAUUCACUACUAGAAAUUAGGUAAUUUCCGUCCACAAUUUCCGACCGAUACAAGUCGGAAAUUGUCAAUUUCUGACCAAAUUUCGACCAGUUUUAAUUGGACGAAAAAAUAAUGGUCGCAAAAGAAGGCCGACCUCAAUUUGUCGGAAAUUUCAAUUGAUUGACUGGGUUUAAUUUUCAAAUUUCCGACCGAAAUCAGUCGGAAAUUAUUUUUUAUUAAUUAUAUCUUUCCGACCGAAAUCGGAACCGAAACUAUUAAAUAUCAAUAAUAUUAUUUAAUUAAAUAAUUUUUGUAAAUUACUAAUUUACUAAAGAAAUAAAUAUAAUUCAUAAUUUCUGACCAAAAUCGGUCGGAAACAGUACAAUUCUAGGCAAAAAAAUUAAUUUCUGACAAAUCUUGCUAAAAACUGGGCAGGAACUGCCUGUUUUUAGGCUCCACUACUUGCCAAUUUAAACAAAUAUACAUCGUAUAAUAGCAGCCUACAUUGCUGUCAUUCAACCAUGAAAAUCCAACAAAAUAACAACUAAUAACUACCACCAACAACUAAUAACCACAACAACUACUAAAGUGUUCAAUAGCAAAAUAACAAUAUAAUCAUUAUUCAAAUAACCAACAAUAAAAUAUUAAUAAGUUCACAACUUUGUUUUGACAAUACACAAUAUUCAAUGAGUUUAUGCAUACUUUUUAAAGUUAUUAACAAGUUCACAGCUUAAAACACGUAUUCAGAAUGUGCAUGAUCUAAUUAUAUGCAUACUUUUUAAAGUUAUAUUUAUUUUAACAUAAUUCGAACAAGAGACAACAAGUUUGUUUGAUCGCAAAACCCACUCUAGGUCCCUUUUUUUGUCUUUAGGCAAUGCCCCACUUUUGUCUUACCAUCACAAUAAAAUUAUAGACUUUGUCCGGAUCAGCAAGAGACUUUGAGACACUCUCCUUUUGCAUACAUUUUUUUGCCCAUUCCACAAUCUUAGGACACUCUGCUUCUAUGUUAAAGUUGCCAAAUUUCUCAUAAGCAGGAAACCAUGUGUAGUAAGGAAUAAGGGCCAUAUCCACAAACCCAAAACUUUCCCCUCCAAAGUAUGGCUUGUCUCCUAACUCCCCUUCCAAUAACUUCCAGCACUCUAUGAAUUCUUUAUUUGCUGCUUCUUGGUCCUCCUUUUUUGAUGUCCAAAUCUUCCUUCCAGUAUCAUAAAUCUGCAUCCUCCCAAAAUAAAAAUGAAGAUUAUAUCUUUUUCUACCAAAUUUAUCUCAUAAAAAUACAACCCCCAUUGUGCGCAAGUUUGGAUGAGUUGGUGCGGACGUAUAUUUUCAUUAGCAUGUCAGUUAGACAUGACUCAAGUUAGCUCAUCUAAAAGUUUAGGCCGAUCUAGGCAACUCGUAUAAUGAAAUUGACUUACAAGAAAAACUUACCAACACAUAGGAAAAUAAGAUAUUCGAUUGAUUGGUUAAAUUUAGUCAUUACAAAUAAAUAAAAAAAUUCCGUUAGUUUAAUUUGUUAAUUGAACAGAUAAUAAUAGAGCAAAUACACAAAUAAAAAAUGAUUUUGAGUUGGACAAGUUCGGAUAUGCGCAUACAUAUUAUAUAGCUCAAAUUGAUCCGUCCAUCUUGACCAAUCAAAAUUAAUUUAGACUACCUUACUACCUUGUUUGGUUAUUGAUUCAACACAUCUUAAUUUACCUAAUUUUGUCCAAAACUUGUCCAUUACUCCUAAUCUCUUCCUUGACAUCUUUUAUAAUAUAAAUCUUGAAAUUGACCAAAAAUAAUAACAAGAACUACACAUAGUUCCAAACAACUUGGGUUCGGAUAUAUGAAUUCUCAUUGACCACGAUUCUCCAUUUAAAUUCAUCUAAGCCCUAUAUAAAAUAGAAAUAAAAAUAAAAAUAAAGAAUAGCAGAAAUUCUCUAUAUUUUGGACUAGAAUAAAAACCUCUAAUUAAUAUGACUAAAACAUAUUGUGUGAUAUUUUGCAUACCUUUUUAUCAACAUAAUCAGCCCAAAACCUAGCAUGAGCUCUCUCAUAAGGAUCAGAAGGCAUCAAAGGGGAGUUGUCCUUCCAAACUUCAUCUAUGUACUGAACAAUAACGAGAGAUUCACAUAUUGGUUUUCCAUUGUGAAUCAAGACUGGGAUUUUCUUGUGAAUUGGGUUCAUUCGAGGGAUUCACAUAUUGGUUUUCCAUUGUGAAUCAAGACUGGGAUUUUCUUGUGAAUUGGGUUCAUUUGUAGGAGAAGAGGAUCUUUGUUCAUCAGAUCCUGCUCCUUGUAUUCAUACUGUAUGCCUUUCUCAGCCAAGGCAAACCUAACCCUCAUCCCAAACAUGCUUACAUAGGUAUCCAAAAGGACAAGUUCAUCUG
rnacentral:lncRNA from 1 species